CCCCACUAGUCUGGGAUACCACUUGGAAACAGGUGCUAAUACCGGAUAAGAAAGCGGAUCGCAUGAUCAGCUUUUAAAAGGCGGCGUAAGCUGUCGCUAUGGGAUGGCCCCGCGGUGCAUUAGCUAGUUGGUAAGGUAAAGGCUUACCAAGGCGAUGAUGCAUAGCCGAGUUGAGAGACUGAUCGGCCACAUUGGGACUGAGACACGGCCCAAACUCCUACGGGAGGCAGCAGGC
rnacentral:rRNA from 1 species